rnacentral:rRNA from 1 species
UACGUAGGGUGCGAGCGUUGUCCGGAAUUAUUGGGCGUAAAGGGCUCGUAGGCGGUUUGUCGCGUCGGGAGUGAAAACACUGGGCUUAACUCAGUGCUUGCUUCCGAUACGGGCAGACUAGAGGUAUGCAGGGGAGAACGGAAUUCCUGGUGUAGCGGUGAAAUGCGCAGAUAUCAGGAGGAACACCGGUGGCGAAGGCGGUUCUCUGGGCAUUACCUGACGCUGAGGAGCGAAAGCGUGGGGAGCGAACAGG